rnacentral:rRNA from 1 species
UACGUAGGGUCCGAGCGUUGUCCGGAAUUACUGGGCGUAAAGAGCUCGUAGGUGGUUUGUCGCGUUGUUCGUGAAAACUCACAGCUCAACUGUGGGCGUGCGGGCGAUACGGGCAGACUUGAGUACUGCAGGGGAGACUGGAAUUCCUGGUGUAGCGGUGGAAUGCGUAGAUAUCUGGAGGAACACCGGUGGCGAAGGCGACAUCCUGGACCGGCAUUGACGCUGAGGCGCGAAAGCCAGGGGAGCAAACGGG